CACGUAGGCACCAAGCGUUAUCCGGAUUUAUUGGGCGUAAAGAGCUCGUAGGCGGCUCAGUAAGUCGGGUGUGAAACCCCCAGGCUCAACCUGGGGACGCCACCCGAUACUGCUGUGGCUAGAGUCCAGUAGGGGAGUGUGGAAUUCCCGGUGUAGCGGUGAAAUGCGCAGAUAUCGGGAGGAACACCAGCGGCGAAGGCGGCACUCUGGGCUGGAACUGACGCUGAGGAGCGAAAGCGUGGGUAGCAAACAGG
rnacentral:rRNA from 1 species